AUGUUUUAUUAAAGAAGGUCAAUUUUAUUACAAAUUUAUUUUGUUAAAAAAAUUGCAAUUUUCUUUGUACAAAAUUAAAUCACAGUUUCUUUGAAAAAAAAAAUGAGUACAUAUGUUAUUAUGAGUGUCUCGACUCAGCAGCAACAAAAGGCUCAAGCCAGCGAGGCCUAACUACAAAUCAGGGCCCAGCUCUCAAGGCCAAUCUCCCAUCUCUUGCAGCAUUGCUCAAAGAGCCCAUCCGGAAUGAAGCCCAAGGGCUGUCGAAUCUGCCCUGAAACCCGGUUUCUAGAAUCUCUGCGCCGUUCAACUUCUCCAAGCUGGAUCCGACAUCAAGGCUUUCAGCCUCCACCGCUAGAAGGGUUGCUGCAAUCCCAAAUGCUGCAGCAACUUCAGCCUCCACCUCCAGAUCUAGCUGCUACGGAAAGCCCUCAUUCUUCGGCGAGGUCAUGCUUCUCCAUCAAAGUUUGUCCGAGCCUCUUCACCGCCACUUCCUCUCCGGCGCCGUCAACCCUGCCCAUGACUUGCUGUCGUUAUCACCCCAGUUUAGGUUUAAGGGAAGUAGCUGAGUUAGCAGCUUAA
rnacentral:lncRNA from 1 species